rnacentral:rRNA from 1 species
AUGGCUAUGGGCACCGCGCAGCUCCUCCUCCUCCUCCUCGCUUGCUUACACUGUCCUCUUGCUGCCGCAGUUGCUCCGCCGCCAUUCUCGUUCAGCUUCGACUUCACCAACACAUCCAGCUACCGCCAAGAUGACCUCAAGUUCGAGGGCAACGCAACUGUGCACGGCAACCUGGUCGACCUCACCUGCAACUCGUUCGGGAAGGACUCGAAAGAUUGCGUGGGACGGGUGUCGUACGCGCACCGAGUGCCGUUCUACGACAACCUCACCGGCGAGGUAGCCAGCUUCCAAACGCGCUUCACCUUCGUCAUCAUGUUGGACAACAAUACCAUGAACUACAAGGGUGAUGGCAUGGCUUUCUUCCUCGCCUAUUACCCAUCAACCAUGCCGGCGACCUCUGGUGGGGGCAACCUCGGCCUCAUGUCCCAAGUCGACGGCAAGAGGACCACCUUCGGCAAAGACCAGUUCAUCGCUGUGGAGUUCGACACCUACAACAACUCCUACGACCCCAGCACCACCUUCGACCACAUCGGCAUCGACAUCAACUCUGUCAUGGAUUCGGUGAACACAACAAGAUUGCCCAACUUCAGCCUCAACGGUUCCAUGACCGCCACCGUCACCUUUGACAACACUAGCCGGAUGCUGAUCGCCGACCUGCGGUUUGAUGACAAUGAUAACUAUCGUCCCGUUCAGGUUAGCACGCAGUUACCCCAUCCGGUCACCACCUUGCUCCCGGAUCAAGUUGCCGUAGGGUUUUCUGCAGCCACCGGCUCGGGCAUGGAGCUGCAUCAGUUACUCUCGUGGUCAUUCAACUCCACGCUUGCUCCGCCCCGGAAAGAUCAUGACAAGAAGGCAGCGGUUGUUGGAUGGUUGAUUGGAGGAGCUAUGGCGUUGCUUGUGUUGUGGUGCAUCAUCUCGUAUUUCAAGUGGACAAGGAGCACAAGUCAAAACUUUCUGGCUCCAAGUGGAGGAGCCAGACAGCUCGAGUACCGUGUUCUGGCUGCUGCAACGGAUGACUUCUCUGAGGAGCGGGUUAUUGGGCAAGGUGCCUUUGGAGUAGUCUACAGGGGCACCUUCUUCAAGGUACCAUCAUCAGGUGCGCCCUCGAGAGAAUCCGAUGGUCCGUCCUCCACGGAAUCUUGUGCGUCUUCAAACUCGAGCUCGAAGGAAUCCGCAGAUGACAUCGAGGUGGCUGUAAAGAAGAUCAAGAAUGGGACAAAGGGAGGAGACUUCUUGGCCGAGAUGAACACCAUUAGUGAAGCCAAGCACAAGAAUCUCGUGAAACUGAAAGGUUGGUGCUGCAGGGAAAACAAUCGGAACUUGCUCGAUUUCAUGUGUUGGUGCUGCAGGGAGAAGAAGGAUGCCGAGCUCUUCCUGGUCUAUGAACUCGUGCCGAACGGUAAUCUGUACUACCACCUAAGCGAGAGUGAGCAAGUAAUAGCAUGGCCAACAAGGUACCAAAUUGUGAAAGACAUAGGCUCGGCCCUUGUUUACCUCCACCACGAGUGCGAACCUUACAUUCUGCACAGAGAUAUCAAACCAGGCAACAUACUCCUAGACAACAAAUUCAAUGCCAAGCUUGCUGACUUCGGGUUGUCGAGGAUCGGCAACCAGGAUAACAUGACUUUGAUGACAACCGCGAUAGGGACGGAAGGGUAUAUUGAUCCAGAAUGUAGGAAAGAUGGGAAAGUCAAGUUCUACCCUAAAUCCGAUGUCUACAGCUUUGGAAUCGUUCUGCUAGACAUUGUAUGCACAGGGAAGUCCAGGGAGCGAGUCUGGGAGUUGUACAUUAGAGGCAAGGUCAUGGAGGCUACAGAUGGAAGGCUUCAUGGCGGCGACGAUUUGGACAGGAGGCAAAUGAAGAGCGUGGCUGUCCUCGGACUCUGGUGUUCUCUUCCUGAUGGUGCCAAGAGGCCUACCGUUCGGAAAGCAAUGGAGGUCCUGGAACGUGAUGAGUCGUUGCCUGACCUUAACUACCGGGUGAACACUUCGGUACCCUCAGCCUCAGGACAUCAACACAUCGACACCAGUAGCUCUGACCAGCAGGCAUUUAUGUCAGAUGAAAGCUAG